GACGAACGCUGGCGGCGUGCCUAAUACAUGCAAGUAGAACGCUGAAGCUUGGUGCUUGCACCGAGCGGAUGAGUUGCGAACGGGUGAGUAACGCGUAGGUAACCUGCCUGGUAGCGGGGGAUAACUAUUGGAAACGAUAGCUAAUACCGCAUAAAAUGGAUUAUCGCAUGAUAAUCCAUUGAAAGGUGCAAAUGCAUCACUACCAGAUGGACCUGCGUUGUAUUAGCUAGUUGGUGGGGUAACGGCUCACCAAGGCGACGAUACAUAGCCGACCUGAGAGGGUGAUCGGCCACACUGGGACUGAGACACGGCCCAGACUCCUACGGGAGGCAGCAGUAGGGAAUCUUCGGCAAUGGACGAAAGUCUGACCGAGCAACGCCGCGUGAGUGAAGAAGGUUUUCGGAUCGUAAAGCUCUGUUGUAAGAGAAGAACGGGUGUGAGAGUGGAAAGUUCACACGGUGACGGAUCUACCAGA
rnacentral:rRNA from 1 species